GACUCUUAGCGUUGGAUCACUCGGCUCGUGCGUCGACAAAAGACGCAGCGAGCGGCGAGAACUAAUGUGAAUUGCAGGACACAUUGAUCAUCGACACUUCGAACGCACUUUGCGUGUGUCUGAGCGUCG
rnacentral:rRNA from 1 species